AAAACACCAUUCUCUUCUUCUUUUCCUUCUUCAAUAGCUUCAUAAAAUCCUAUCUUCUUCUUUCUCUUAUUGUUCUUCUUCUCUUCAAUUAUCAAAGCCAAGCUUGAUCUCCACCCUUCAGACCUCAACGCCUUUGGAACUCUCCAAAGAGAUCUUGGUCUCAAUGCACUUUUAGUCAACGGUCAAGGCUUCCACCCAUGCACCAUCGAUGGUGUGUGCUGCGACACCGCCACAGCCACCUACGCCUUGUUUUCACCCCCAAGAAUUUCAAUGGAACCCUCUCUUCCGCCAUUGGACACCUCACUGAGCUUAAAGAACUCUCUUUAUCUGAUAACCACCUCGUUGACCGCAUCCCAAACUCCAUAGUCAACCUCAAGAAGCUCGAAAUCCUCAACCUCCGUGGCAACGGCUUCUCUGGCGAAGUCCCGCCUCACCUUUCUUCGCUUGCAAGGCUCCGAGUCCUCGAUGUCUCCUCCAACAAACUCUCCGGCAACCUCAACUUCCUCAAGUAUUUUCCGAAUUUGGAAAAGCUAAACGUCGCCGACAACCUCUUUGUUGGUCGUAUCCCGGUUUCUAUUCGCUCGUUUUGGAACCUCAGACACUUUAACUUCUCCGGCAAUAGUUUUCUCGAAUGCUUGACGCAAUAAUUUGAGAGUUUGGAGCUCAUAGCAUCUAACAUCAGAGUUUGAAGUGGAAAAGGAGAGAUCCAUUAAUGAUCAAAGUCAAAGAUCAAUGAUUGUUGAGUUCACUUGUUAGGUAAUACGAUUUGUCAAAAUUAUUACUAUAAAUAAAAUAAAUUUUUUGAUAAUGGAGAUUUAUUGGAGGUGGAGGUUUCGAGCCCUCUUGCUCAUCACGGAUGUCACGGAAGACCGUGCUAACGUUUAAGUGUGGGAAGGUCGGUGAUCGUCUUCCGUAAGUAACAACUCUUCUCUCUAGCACCUAGAUCUUAAUUUCUUGUGUUAGUUAAUUAGGAUAAUUUAUAUUCUAUAGUUAGUUAUUUGCAUUUAAGUGUGUAAAAUUCAUUUUUAAGUGUUUUUUGCAUGAUAUAUAGUUGCUUGUAAAUAUCUCUAGAGCUUUGUACAUAUUUUGUUUAUCCUUGUUGAGUGAUUGGAUGUAUAUGAAUUAGAUGAAUUAUUUUUCAUUCAACCACUUCUUACUAGGACUACUUGGUUGAAGUAAUAAGUUUCUUUCUAAGAAAAUUAUUUUAGGACAUUUUAUUAAUUUAUAUUAAAUUUUUUAUUGAACUUGUUUGAAGAAAUCAAUUUUAAAACAUGGUUUAGAGCUAGAACAUAUAAACCUAGUGAGAUUUUGAGUCUAAUUGAUUGGUUGCAUUUCUUCAACCAAUAUUUUAUUUCGGUGUGUGUUGUUCUCUCUAAGAUUGUGAUAUUUGACUUGCUUAAUUCUAUAUAUCCGUUGUUUAAUAUAUGAAUGUAUUUAUGUGAUUGAGGCAUUUGUUUCACUAAAGUUCAUAUACCCAAAAUAGCCUUAUCCCUUUUAUCAAUCCUUGUAAAUCAAUGUUGAGCCUAUUUAACGCCCUUUGUUCUUUAUUUUAGCACAUCACUAACUCUAUGUGAAAAACAAUAAAUGUCCUUCAUUUGAAUCUUUGGUUAACUUAAACUAAUGAGAGUGUGCAUGAUCUAAGUGGGAAAAUUGGAGUUGGAAAUAUUUGAUUGGGUGAAUUGGGUAUUUUAUAAUUCUUGUUGAAAAUUUUAAAAAAUUGGAUACAUAUUCAUGUAUUCAAUACUUAAAUCAUAUGCAUUAGUCUCUUAUGUAUAUAAUAAUAAAAAAAUCAAUAAAAAAAGAAAAAAAGAAAAGAAAAAAAAAGAGGACAAAAUGUCCCAAAGUAAAGUAGUGAUAACAAUGCAUAUGUAUUGUGUUUAAAAACGGGAUGCAUGAGUAUGUAGAAAAAGAUAAAUAAUGGAUAGUUAAGCUUUGCAUUAUGGUUACAUGGUUGUCCUAGGUUAGGUGGGAAGUUUAGGUUAAUCAAAAAUUCAAAUUCUAGUCUGCUUGACCAAAUACAAUCCUACCUUGCCUCUAACCCCAUUAUAACCCUUGAAAAGUCCUCUUGAUAUGUGUAUCCGUGUAUUGAAUAUAUGUUGACUGGUAGAAGAAUAACAAGCCUUAGAAAGUAAGAUUAGAAGAGAAUUGAGAGAAUCGACCCUCAAACACUAAAGAGAUUAGAGUGCAAACACUUCUAGUGACGGUUCAAUACUCAAUCCUAUGUUCUCCGCUUUCACGAGCUCUCAUCUUGCAAGUUUAUUUAUGCUUUAAUUAGAGAUUUAAAUUAGUGAAAUUUGUUGAUCAUCAUACUAUUUUAGCCCUAUGUGUUUAUAUAUGUUCUUGGAGAUUGAUUUAUUUUUAAUUUAAUCGAGUGAGUAGAAGCAUUUUGCAUUAGUUGUAUUCAUAUAAAUAGGUUACAUUUCAUAAGUCUUACCAUUCCCUUUAUUCUUUUGGUCUCUAAUUUUUAGUAUGAAGAUAUGCUAAUAUUUAAGUGUGGGAAGAUUGAUAAACCACAAUUUUAUGGUUUAUUUUGGAUUGAAUUGAGUGGAUUUUAUCAACUCUUUUCACACUUAUUCAUAUAAAUUGCAUGAUUUUAUGAUUUCUUCCUAAUUAUGCUUUAUAGUUGAAGACAUGCUUCUAAGGCCUUAAAGAUGCUAAUUUUUAAUUCUCUUCUAUUACCAUUCGAUGCCGUGAUGUGUUUGCUAAGUGAUUUCAGGGUCUAUAGGGUAAGAAUGACUUAGAGGAUAGAAUGGAAGUAUGCAAAAGUAGAAGGAACACGAAGAAUUGAAAUUUUGAGAAUCUGGUGCUCGUGUGUACGCUUGGCUCACGCGUAUGAGUGACUUGUAGAAAGUUCGACUGGCGCGUUCACUCGUACGCGCGCGUGACAUGUAGCGCGUUAUUUCCUUAAAAUUUCACGUGCCAGCGAUUUCUAGACCUUUAUUGGGUCCAAAUCAAGCUAAUUCUGAAUGGAAAAAGACCAAAAGCUGAAGGGAGAAUGGAGGCAACCAAGCAUACACACAUUUACUUACUUUUUAGCUAAUUUUUGUUCAUAGAUUUCUAGAGAGAGAAACUCUUCCUUCUCUCUAAAAUUUAGUGCACUUUAAUUACAUUUUGUCUCAGUUACUCAUUUGGAUCUUAUUAGACUUUUAUUUUGUUGCUUGAAUUGUAGUUUCUAUAGCUUAAUUUCACUUGGAACCUUGUUGACUAUUCUCUCUUAUUUUGUUGGUUUAUGGAUCUUGUUAAUUUUGAAUUUCUAUUAAUGCAUUGAAGUUUCUAUGA